UGGUAUGCACUGGCUUUGCUGGUUCCUCCUUUCUGAAGAACUGUAAUGCCAUUAAUUUGGUGUUGCAGGGAAACAGGACUGUUACUUUGAAAAAAUUAGAGUGUUUAAAGCAGGCUAACGCUUGAAUACAUUAGCAUGGAAUAAUGAAAUAGGACGUUUGAUUCUAUUUUGUUGGUUUCUAGGAUCGACGUAAUGAUUAAUAGGGAUAGUUGGGGGCAUUAGUAUUCAAUUGUCAGAGGUGAAAUUCUUGGAUUUAUUGAAGACUAACUACUGCGAAAGCAUUUGCCAAGGAUGUUUUCAUUAAUCAAGAACGAAAGUUAGGGGAUCGAAGACGAUCAGAUACCGUCGUAGUCUUAACCAUAAACUAUGCCGACUAGGGAUCGGAUGAUGUUAAUUUUUUAAUGACUCAUUCGGCGCCUUACG
rnacentral:rRNA from 1 species